rnacentral:rRNA from 1 species
GGGGAAUAUUGGACAAUGGGCGCAAGCCUGAUCCAGCAAUGCCGCGUGAGUGAAGAAGGUCUUCGGAUUGUAAAGCUCUUUUGGCGGGGACGAUGAUGACGGUACCCGCAGAAUAAGCCCCGGCUAACUUCGUGCCAGCAGCCGCGGUAAUACGAAGGGGGCUAGCGUUGCUCGGAAUGACUGGGCGUAAAGGGCGCGUAGGCGGAUUGUACAGUCAGACGUGAAAUUCCUGGGCUCAACCUGGGGACUGCGUUUGAUACGUAUAGUCUUGAGUGAGGAAGAGGGUUGUGGAAUUCCCAGUGUAGAGGUGAAAUUCGUAGAUAUUGGGAAGAACACCGGUGGCGAAGGCGGCAACCUGGUCCUUUACUGACGCUGAGGCGCGAAAGCGUGGGGAGCAAAC